UACGGGGGGGGCAAGCGUUGUCCGGAUUUAUUGGGCGUAAAGAGCUCGUAGGCGGCUUGUCGCGUCGAAUGUGAAAACUCGGGGCUCAACUCCGAGCUUGCAUUCGAUACGGGCAGGCUAGAGUUCGGUAGGGGAGACUGGAAUUCCUGGUGGUAGCGGUGAAAUGCGCAGGAUAUCAGGAGGAACACCGGUGGCGAAGGCGGCAUCCUGGACCGACAUUGACGCUGAUGAGCGAAAGCUAGGGGAGCAAACGGG
rnacentral:rRNA from 1 species